GCCCGAGUGGUGGAAUGGCAGACACGCGGGACUCAAAAUCCCGUGCCCGCAAGGGCGUGUGGGUUCGACUCCCACCUCGGGUA
rnacentral:tRNA from 1 species